CGUGUAGGUGGUUUGCUAAGUUGGGUGUUAAAUCUCUCGGCUCAACUGGGAGGUGUCGCUCAAAACUAGCAGACUGGAGGAUGGUAGAGGGAGGUGGAAUUCCGGGUGUAGUGGUGAAAUGCGUAGAUAUCCGGAGGAACACCAGUGGCGAAGGCGGCCUCCUGGACCAUUCCUGACACUCCAACGCGAAAGCUAGGGGAGCAAACGGGAUUAGAAACCCCGGUAGUCCUAGCUGUAAACGAUGUGAACUUGGUGUUGGCGGGGUAAAACCUGUCGGUGCCGAAGCAAACGCGAUAAGUUCACCGCCUGGGGACUACGGCCGCAAGGUUAAA
rnacentral:rRNA from 1 species